CAGGAGAAAAUACUGAGAGUUCUGGAUUAUGAACUGAAGAGCUUGAAGAAGGGUAGAAAAAUAUAUCUACAGCAGCCAAACAGUAACGUCUUUUUCUGCUGCAAGAAGGCAGAUGUUCUGAGUCAUUUGCAGAGAGAACGAGAAAUGCUGAUGGAGAGACAAAAACAUAAGAAGUCAAAGUGAAAGUAAACAUUGUCGCCAUUAAUGAUCUUGUGUUCUUUUCUUUAUAUUUGUUUUCAAAUACAGUACCAGAAAAAAGUAGUAUGUAACAUAUGUAAAGGAAAGUAAAUUUCUUUGUUUUAGUAUAUUACCAAUAUUAUUAUUAUAUGAUUUCUAUUCUAAGUAAAGAGUCUGAUAUCAUGAAGACUUUCUGCAUAA